AAGGGUCCUGAAGGAACGUUGAAGACGACGACGUUGAUAGGUCGGGUGUGUAAGCGUAGCGAUACGUUGAGCUAACCGAUACUAAUGAACCGUGAGGCUUAACCUU
rnacentral:rRNA from 1 species